ACACCAUUUUUAUAUCUCUAGAACGUAAGUAUUAUGAAGGAUAUCUGAGAUUUUAUUGGGUUCCCUUCUGGACUUUUGGGAUUGUUGAGGUUAUAUUAUGUUAGUUCCUAAAAUUCCACCACCUUACAUAGUAUACCAUGCUAUCAGUUCUAGAAUUUGAGUAAUUUGAAGGAUUUGUCAAGUUUUUCUGGGUUUCCUU